ensembl:lncRNA
AGACUGGCUUCCAGAGGUGCAGUUAGUCCCUAAAAAGCAGAAGGGUCGGAUAGUAGGUUCUCCUAUCUAUCCCCAUGCAGGGAUCAAUUUAGAAGCGUAGAAUCAUAGAAUGGUAUGAGUUGGAUGGGAUAUUUAAAGGCCAACUCUCUGCAAUGAACAAGGAUACCCACAGCUCCAUCAGGUGCACAGAGCCCCUCCAGCCUGACCUUGAAUGUCUCCAGGGACAGGGCAUCCACCUCUCUUUUUUUCCUCAUAUGCAAUUUAAAUCUCCCCUCUUUUAAUGGGAAACCAUUUCCCCUGGUCCUGCCACCACAGACUCUGUUAUGGAAUCAGUUGCCUCCUUUCUGCACCUCUCAGCGUCUCCUCCAUGCUUGUCCAGCGCUGCUCCUGGACCUUCCUUGGUCACUUCUGUGAUUUUAUGACCUUCCUCAGUCGGGGAAAGCAGUUAGGAGGGGAAAUGUCCCAGGAGAGAAGGGAUAGGAGAGAAUAGUGUAAGAGUGUAGAAUAGAAUAACCCUGAACAAAGAGAACACUGAACGAAGUAAGAGGAUGCUGAUCAAAGUAAGAGACAACUGCAGUUCCUAGCAAAGCACAGGGAUGAGCCCGGCUGCUGUCUGCAGAGCCAUGCUGAUCCUGCAGCCCAGCUGCGAGGCUGGCUUACUGCAGCAGGCUUUCCCUCUAGUGGAGGAGCACAGGAAAGGAUUCCUGUGCUGGAGGAGACAGCACAGAUCCCUCCGGACCUGAGUUUGCCCAUCAUGUGCUGAUGUGAUGCUGGGGAAACUUGUGGCAAAUGCAACCUCGGGAAAGAAAACCUUCCUCUGCACAUGGAAAGCAGGAGGGCUCUGUCUGCAAACCUGCCUCCAUCACUAUCUGCAGAGGAAUACGACCGAAAUGCCAUCAUCUCCCAAACACCACUCAGCUUUGAAGUUUCCCAGGGAGCCAUUUUCCUGCACCAGCUGCCAACUGACGGACACUUGAUUCACUGAUGCAAAGGUUACAAAUAAAGAAGGGAAGGAGUGGUGACGAAUGUGACCAAGGAUGACAGCACAAGGCUGGGCCCUGUUCAGGAGGACACAGGACCUCUGCAGCAGCAAAAUAUGGGAUCUUCACGCAGCAGUUCAUUUCCUUCCUCAGCUUCAGAGAUCAUAUCUUCUUAUGCAAGAUUUAAGCAACGUGUCUUAUUUCGUAUUAUUUCUUCUUCUCUCUUUUUUAAAAAAUUCUUUUUAUUAUUUUUUUUUCUUUUACUGUUUUAUUCAUCAAAACCAGAUGCUUUGACCCAGUUAACCUCCAGGCUCAGUCUGCUUGGGACGCUACAGACAUGCUGCCAUCCCAUUGAUCUGAGAGUGCUUGAGUCAGCAUGCUGGCUUCAAGCUGGUGCAGAGCAGGCUGAGCUAUGCUGCAUGGAGAAUAUUUCCUCCCAGGGAUGCCCACUGCCAGCCAGACCAGACUGACUUGGACCAGCCUCACUCUUCCCAAGUUCUUGCCAAAGAGCUGGGACAAAUCUCAUUCCAGAGGAUUGCUCCAAAGGGCUUCCCCUGGCUGCCCAGCCUGCAGUGUGAGCCUGGUUUCUCCCUCCUGUGUCCUUGCUUUGGCAAGAAGCAAUAGCACUGAUGGUGGUGAGACCUCUGGUGAGGAUGUUCCCUGUGAUCCGUGGCUCUACAGACCCACCCAGUAGUUGAUAAUUCUUUCAAAUGUACACACAGUCACAGCAUCCCCAUUGAUAUAUUUCCUAUAAAUCUCUAUUAAGCUGAAAAGAGGCUCAUUCUACUGGGAUUUACAUUACAAAGGCUUUUCACAGCAAUGUGGGUUCUUCACAGCCACAGGGAUUUCUCUUUCUACCAUCAGAAGAGACGAGGGAGGCUGAGACUGCAGGAUGGUCUCCUUGAAUUGUCUCUCUUACAGGAGCUGGGAGCAUUUUUCUGCCUGCCCAAAGUGCCAAAACUACUGCCCACCUAUCUAUGCAUUCUGCUGUCACCUUCCCUUCACGAAGGUACCAUCGUUUACAUAGUGCACCCAACACCCUCCAGCUGGAAUCACCACUCAAGCACUGUUUUGAUGUUAUAUUGCUUUUGUGUAUGUAUGUAUACACAUAUGUAUACAAAUAUGCUUAUAAAGAGUUGUGGUGGCAUUUGUCCUGUUGAUUCAUCCAAGGCGAGGCUGAUUAGUUUGACUCGUUAUUCCCUAACAUCUUCCUUAAGGACUGAGUUGAAGGAAUCCUCAUAAUGAAAUUUGAAAGUGGGACAAGGACGUGGAUAGGAAAAAAAAAAUAAAGAAAACGUUCUGGAGAGAUCAGUAGCGUGGUCAGGAAAUGAAUACACAAAAUCUUCCACUUGGAAAAUGAAAGUUAAGACUGCUGGAGAAAAAUGAUCUGAAACAGCUCUUCAGCUCAGCAAAGUAACCUGGCAGGCGUGGAUUCUGAAACGAAUGGAGCAGGGUCAGCUAGGAGCAAGCUGGGCAGGCAGAGAGCCCUGUCAGUCCCCUCAAACCUGGCUUCUUGAAGCAGCGUGUGCAGUUCUGAAUGGGGAAUGACAAUUAGGACAGUCAGAAAGCACAGCCUUGAAGUUGUUUUCCUUGGAAAAUUAGAUUUCUAACACAUGAAAACAUUUAAGGGAACAAUAUUUGCUUUCCCUGACAACCUGGCUGUAUUUCUCGCUUUUGUUUGUCAGAGAUGUAUAGAUUAAAAGGUGAGAAAUGACUCUGUUAACCUUUUAAUCUGAUCUGUUGGUUCUAACCGAGGCUGAGUAAUUUCAUCUGUUUACUCUGCGUUGCACUCCCUGAUUUGGGUUUGGACGGUGCCCUGCAGGCAGGUGUCCUACAUACCCAGAGAACCUUCUGGGCUUUGGGGUGA